rnacentral:piRNA from 1 species
UCCCUUUCGCAGACAAAGUGACAAGGU